rnacentral:misc_RNA from 1 species
UCUCCCAUUGGAUAUCUAUAUUUUGCUUAAUAUACUUCCUUGUUUGGAGACGGAUUCAAGGUGUAAACCACUGUCUGGAUACUAGGAGACGAGUUUGUGUUUUCCUGUUAGACAAGAGUUCCCUGGGUCUGUGUUGUCUCGUUUUUACCCUUACAAUGGCUGAAGGCGGUCUCCCUCCGGAACAGGAUUUACACCUACUUGAAUGUCCAAUCUGCCUGGAGCGAUUCCAACAACCCAAGUCCUUACCCUGUCUUCAUUCUUUCUGUCAGGAUUGUCUCGGGACCUAUAUCACCAAGGAAGUGUCCGGGAAAAUAGCGUCGAAAACAUCCUUCCCUUGUCCGGUCUGUAGGAGAAGGACGUACCCUAUUAACCAAGCAGAAACCAAGAAGAAAUGGGUAGAACAGUUUCCGACUAAUAAUAUGAUCCAGGACCUUAUCCAGCUCAGAGAACGUUCAUCUGAACCAUUGUACUGCAAACCCUGCCAGACAGAAGGUAACCUGUUCAACCCAGCACAAUUCUGGUGUAAAUCGAUGAACGAGAAUUUUUGCGAGGCCUGUAAGGUUAAACUACAUGAUAUCAUACAUACUGACUGUGGUAUAGUUGAUAUCACCAUAAACGAUAACACCAGAUUGAAACCUAAAAUAUCUGCCCUUCGAUGUGACCGACACGACAAGAAAAUAGUUUGGCAUUGUGAGGACCACCAAAUUCUGGGCUGUAACGUUUGCGUUUUCAAAGACCACAGGCGGUGUGAGAAGAUUUUAACAGUGACAAACUAUUUACUGGAGUUAAAAAAGGAAGCAAAACUAGAAGAAAUGCGGGCGGCUCUGAAAAGGGGGGCAGAGGUAAUGAACUCAUUAGUAAAGGACUUUGACGAACAACUCCAGACCAUGGUACAGAGCCAGGAAAUCGCACUGCAGAGUAUCGCAGAUCUGCGUGAAAAGAUCGACAAACGGUUAAACAAGCUUCAGGAGGGCAUCACCGACGGGUUGAUCAUGCUGUUCAAAGAUGAGAAAAGGAAUCAAGAGGCAUCAUUACGGCAGUGCGAACGCCUGAUGAAUGGUAUGCUAAAUACACUGAAGUUGUCCAUUAAAGCCGCAGAGGAAAACGACAACAUUGAGACGAUAGUGCUGUAUCAGAGAGCGCAAGCGGAAGUGGACUCGUGUAAAACCCUUGUCGCGGAGAUGGGCAAGUCCUUCACAUCCGCCAGCAUUGAGCAUCAUAUUGUCCCUGGACAUGAUAUCAUUAGCGACUACGCUAUGGGAAAGAUAGUCGUCCGCAAAGAACCAAGAUGCAUCCCUUGUCACCAUUGUGAUUUUGCGCCCCCCAUGUCAGAACGUCGUGUGAAAGAAAUCGGAAGGUUCAAUAUCGAGUCCCCGUCAGAUGAAAAUGCAUGCCAUGUUCUUGGUGUUGUGUACCUGCCAGGUUCCCAGAUAGUAGUAAGUGAUUGCUUCAACAAAAAACUGAAGUUGUUCACAGACAAAGGACAGUACCUGGACGAGUUGACCGUUCCAAUAAGGCCCGGUGAUAUGUGUUUGGUGAACAACACCACGGUGGCGGUCGCCGACAAGAGUUCUAGUCGUGUAAACGUCGUGAAUGUCGAGGCAUCAAAAUUGUCCCUGGUAUCUGAGAUCAACAUUACUAAUGGUAAAUACUAUGACAGUAUAACACAUAUGGAUGGAAGCUUUGUCGUGAGCUCACUUGGAGAAGUAUACAGUGUGACACAAGGCGGAUCAUCUGAGUUUUUAUAUAACUAUAACAACUAUUGCUGGUCCCUGGCACAUGAUCCAAUAAAGGGAGACAUACUUGUAAGUGUCGAUAAUGACAAGACGGGAGACGUCGCGGUGUCUAGACUGUCGGCUGGCAAACGUCACACGGAUGUGAUGAAGGUUGGUGUUGUGAGGCGUGCUUUGGGAAUAGACGUGGACAGGGAGGGUAACAUCUACGUUUGUGGUGAGAAAUCUGACAACGUCGUACAGAUAUCUGGGGACGGGAAACACGUCAGGGAACUUCUGACGUUAUCAGAUGGAAUUAAAUCUCCAUGGGCAAUAGCUGUUCGUGGUGACUCAUUUGUGGUCAUUGAUAAGACUAGUACAAGUGCACGGAAUAACAUCCGUGUCUUUCAACUGUACUGAAGUAUACAAAUGGAAACAAGUGUGUGGUGAACUUGAGAUAAAUGUUGAUCGGAACAAAUGAAUAAACACCAUGUAAAGAUUUAUAUAAAGUUUGAGCCAAAACAUAACAGGUAUCUGUUUCUCAAAGUACCAGCACCAAGCAUAAUCGUCAUUAUGGUUGUUUUCAAUAUAUGUAUUGAACAAAACAAGUUCAAAUUCUUUGUUUUCAUACUCAAUUGUUGUUUGGUGUAUCAAAUUUGAAAUAAUUUCAUCAUGAUCAAUAAAAAAAAAGAUAU